AUGGCUUUGCAGCUCUGCCUGAGUCAAGAAACUCAAACUUGGAACAUUCCCUGUGGACAGGGGAAUGGUGUGCCACGAUGGGCCAGGUCAAGUGCUGACUCCUGCAGCCAGAGGGCAGGUCGGACAAAUGUCACAGACUUUAGAGCCAAAGGUUUAGGGCAAAUUCUCACCUCUGCGACUUACAGGUUCAUUCCAUUCCUGGUGGAAUUGGGAGGAGGAGGUGAGGCAGACAUUUCAUUUUAUUCCAAAUUCCCACCUGCUUUAAUAUUUAUGGGGCGGGGGGAGGCAAGAGUCAUUCAUUCCACAUCUAUUGACAUCUACUUAUUUUCCUAGUUUUGCAGCCAUAUCAUUUGAAGGAUCAUGAUUUCCCACCUAGGGUUGGACAGGAGCAUUCAGUGCCCUGGGGAUGUCUAUCUAUUUCAUUCCUUUGGUGUAUCCUUCUUUUAGUAGGUUUAUAUCAAACAGAUAGGCUUACAGAUGGCCAUCAAUGCUUCAACUGGGAGAACCUUGCAUUGGACACCAACAGAACUGCCUGCUUCCAGAGAGAACUUAUUACACUAAUAUACUGUAUUUCCUUAGGAUAGGAUACUUUGCUUUUUACCUAGUUUUUAUUAAAUAACAGAAGCCAAAAUGAGCAUAAGAUUAUACACACACCCCCACACACCCACACCCACACAACUUUUUAUAUUUAGAGGAUAGGAAAGAAAAAUUUAUUAAUUGAAUCAUUCAUUCAUACCUGAAGAAAGAGAAGGAAUCUUAGCUAGCUAGUGAGUUCCACUUCCAGUGGUAUUAUAUAUGAAAAAGUUAAAGAGGCUGUAUACCAGGGCAAUAUCCCUUUUUUCUUAUUUUAAAUGUGAUGGAUGCAAUGAAACCUGAAACCAACAAUGAACAUUUGUGAAACCAAUGGGAAAAAUAUUUGAGUGAUUUUAAAACACAUUAUUUAGGGGCACCUAGGUGGCUUAGUUGGUUGAGAGUCUGCCUUUGACUCAGGUCAUGAUCCCAGGGUCCUGGGAUCAAGCCCCACAUCAGGUUCCCUGUUCAUCGGGGAGCCUGCUUCUCCCUCUCCCUUUCUCUCUACUGUUCCCCUUUCUUGUGCUCUCUGGCUCUCUCAAAUAAAUAAAUAAAAUCUUUUUAAAAAACCCACAUUAUUCAAAUAGUAGAUAAAUUGUUGGGGAUGACUUGGUCCAUAUAUUCAAAAUGGGAAAUAGGUAUGAUUGAGGACCAUCUAUAAAUACUUACUGUUGAAAGAAUGAAAAAGACUAGGCUAAGUUCACAAAUCACAUAUAUGGUACUAUAUUUUAUGGGUGAUUAAAAGAAUUUUUAAGGUAAUUUUGACUAUUGGAAAUUUUCUCUUUAUUCACUAACUUUCAAACCUAAGAUGUAGGUCA
rnacentral:lncRNA from 1 species